CUCUUCCGAUCCUUUUUCUCCUCUCCCGAAUCUGUCGUUUCCUCCUCCUCGAGUUGACCGUCGGCCACCGGGUGACGACUCCGACGACCACGAUGGUCGGACGUCUCCGAGCAGAUCCCAUAGUCCUCGCCGCGAGAUGCAGUUGUGACAGGGGCGGCGACCAAACCAUUCCGCGGUCUGCUUACGCCACCACUGGCCCACUGCCUCAUCAAUCGCUGGCACCGCUCUUCCCCUUCAGCGUGCCUCACUACUACCAGCCCCUCUUGGCUACUAAACUGUCAGUCGAGCUCUCUCUGUGUUCUCGAUCCAUCGCCGAUGCCCUCCCCUUGCCGCGUUGCCCCUUUUCUUUCCGGUCAACGACGCUGGUAGCUAGGGCAGAUCAAGCAUCGCUACAGCUGGUCAUCAUUUGUCAUUACUGCCAUCGCCAGAAAGCUAGGACACCAUCGGACUGAGUCACGCCAGUUUGUAACCUAAGUGAGACGUAGGUACUCGGAUCAUAAUGCGGAGGAAAUGAGAUCAGGCUGGUUUCACAGAGCAAUAAUUCACCGUAGUGUAGUUGAUCUGCCAGUUGCUGUGUGCUAAUGUCGAAACACUCAACCACUACCUGGAAGAAGCUGAAUGGUUUCUGAUUCGCGACAGGAGUUCGAUUGGAGGUCAUUUAGUACGACUAUAUGAGCUAAAUUUAAGGCAGUUAACAGGUAGAGGAUGUGUCGUGUCACUUGGAGGUCCUGGCUGCCAGUCCCACAUUACACUCGAGAUCAUGUUUUCUAUGUUGUUUCUAUUGCUAUUUUUAGUUUUGGUUUUCAGACUUGGUUGUGCAAUAAUUACUUUGAUUGUGAUUUCCAUUUUGUGAUGUGUUUUUAUUUGGUUACGGUAUCUGUGGUUAAGUCAUACUGGUACGCAGUGGUGUUAGUUUCUAUUUUUUUGGAGCGGAUUGGGUAAAUCCCUCCCUUGUGUAUGUUUUCUAUUGUUUGUUGUGGGAUUGUGUUAAUCCCUUUACCCUAUUGUUGGCAUGUUUGUUUUUAUAUUCCACUAUGUGAUUAGUAUGAUUUGUGGCUAUGUAUCUAUGUUUCAUUUGUCA